rnacentral:rRNA from 1 species
UACGAAGGGGGCUAGCGUUGUUCGGAAUUACUGGGCGUAAAGCGCACGUAGGCGGAUAUUUAAGUCAGGGGUGGAAUCCCGGGGCUCAACCCCGGAACUGCCUUUGAUACUGGGUAUCUCGAGUCCGAGAGAGGUGAGUGGAAUUCCGAGUGUAGAGGUGAAAUUCGUAGAUAUUCGGAGGAACACCAGUGGCGAAGGCGGCUCACUGGCUCGGUACUGACGCUGAGGUGCGAAAGCGUGGGGAGCAAACAGG